AAUGAGAGUCCCAAAUUGACUCUUGAACCUAGCUUCCGCACACAGCAACAGAAUACGCUGCUGUCCUGCCUCCAGGCCAGCUGCAGCAUCUUUACGAUUUCAUAACUGUACAAGUCAGCUCGCUAGAACAAAGACUAGCCACAAACCAAACUCUGACACGUUUGCAUGCAAAAGGGAAGAGCUUCAUGCAGCAGCAAAUUAACAAACAUGAAUUUGUUUGCAAAGGGACUAAAUCCUGCUCCAUAUCAGUCAAAGGCAAAACUCCCAUUCAGUGGAAAAAGCAUCACAGAAACAAGGAAACAGAUACUUUCAUUUAAUUUGAACACAAGGCACAAGAGAGCAAGUGGCCACAUGAGCCUAAUUCCUUUCAUGUUGCUUCACGUUUUUCUCUCUCCCCUAUUGCUGCAGGAUACAUGAACAACAGGGGAAAACUACUUAUAGUUAAAUCAACUGCACAUGAAACAUGUCAAAUUCACAUCAAACAAAAAAAACCUGGAGAUAAUAUUGUUUUCAUGAAUCACUCCAAAUUCCAGUAAUCUUAGGUGUAACUCAUAACAACAGGCAAAAAUUUUCUGAGGGAAGUUUGCCUUGUGACAGUCCCCUCCGCUUGCUCUAGUAAUAGUCAUUUCCACAUAAUGUGGAAAGGAAAACUGAGUCUUUGUCUGAAAUAUGUGGUAACAUUUGAGCCAGGCUGGAGUUGUGAAUACUCCAGGAUGUGAUCUUCAUUCUGAAGUGGAGAGAGUGAAAUGAAGAUGAGGAUGCUGCAUAUGAAGCAAAAACACUUGGAUCAGUGAAAACAGUUGUCUACCAGAGUGAGAUAAUCCUGCAGCAUAUGAAGGUAUAUGAAUUCCUCAUCACAUAGCACUGACAUCUAUUAAAUGGGGGGAGGAGAUCAUCCAGAUACUUACAUAUCUUUCCCAGUCAAUCUCUGCAUAAAAUCCAUUUGGAGCUCCAUUACUUUUCUUCUGUAAUACAUUUGAGAAUAAUUUUACAAUUUUUAAAUUCAAGAGCUAAGAAUCACACACAGUCUAUCUGGAGCAAACUACUGAAAUCGGUCACAGAAUGGCCAGACUAGCAACCCUCUAAAGAAACUGGUCAGUACAGUUAGCUGAUUGUGAUGUCCCUAUAUAACAAACAGCUAUUUCAUACAAACGAUGAAAUUUUUAAAAUAAUGUAAAAGGCUGAUUUUUUGUAACGAAUAGGGCAAUUCAAAAUCCACAGCCCAGCAAAUAAAUGAUGGUUUGCAUUUCUGUAGAAUCUUCCACAUGUCUGUUUCAGUGCACUUUAUAAACAACCGUUAAUUGAAAUCCACAACACUCCUGUGAGGAAGGGAAGCAAAAUUAUUAAUUCAUUGUGCUGUGCUGAGACACUUCAGCACGUUUAUAGUGCUAUAGGUUCAUGACCAGCAAGUAUUGGACAGAUAUCCACAACAUCUUCACUUAUUGAGUAUACAUAGCUUUCUUCAGAUUGCAACAGUGGUAGUUGUGGGGUUACAUAUACAUGUGUACAUGUAGAAAGCCUUGUCAAAAGUAAUGUUUCAUUUAUAUAAUGAGCCUCCUUGCUUAGUCAUCAUCCACUGCUUUAGUCUUUUCUGGAAAAAAAUCAUGAUAUGCCAACAGGUAUUAUUGGUUUCUGCAGAAACUAAUGUUGCUUUCUUAUAGGCAGUAAACUGUAUUCAUUGCAAAAAUGGUGCUAAAUGGUGCAGCAAAAGUGACUAAUUUUCCACCUGAGGUGUGUGCUGGAGGUCUAAAGAGGCUCAGAUUGAUCUAGGGUCAAACUCUGCUAUUAUUUACCACACACACACACCCCACAAACCCCACCCAGGGCAAAAAUGGUUCCCUUGUCAAUAUCUGUUAAUUAGCAAAAACAAAAACUGAUAGCUGGGCUGAGUUCUGGCCUUCGCUUGAGAACUUGUACUCUCAAUGUAAAUUUUAAUUGCAAAGUUAUAAAACAUUUACCCAAAGGAGUUUAUAAAAGAAACCCUAAUGCACCUUUCCUCAGAGUGGCGCAGAUGAAGACCACUAUAAUGUUCAGACAGGAAUUGCGCUGCAUUUCUGAUGUCACUAUGGUUAGGUUCAUCUUAAAGCA